UACGGAGGGUGCAAGCGUUAUCCGGAUUCACUGGGUUUAAAGGGUGCGUAGGAGGGCAGGGAAGUCAGUGGUGAAAUCUCCGGGCUUAACUCGGAAACUGCCGUUGAUACUCUCUGUCUUGAAUCCCGUGGAGGUGAGCGGAAUAUGUCAUGUAGCGGUGAAAUGCUUAGAUAUGACAUAGAACACCAAUUGCGAAGGCAGCUCACUACACGAAGAUUGACUCUGAGGCACGAAAGCGUGGGGAGCAAACAGG
rnacentral:rRNA from 1 species